GGGGGCGACAGGUCUCGACGGGGGUUUAGAACCAGAGAGUGCAGGCCGGGGACCCGUAACCUCGUCAAAAAAGCGGGAACAUUCAUCUGCCAACGAGCAGAUGGCUCUCGCUGCCUAACUAGCAGCGACGGUCGUCCGGACCCCGCCCGUGGGGGCCGAAACGAGCGUCAGAAAAUCGCGGGCUGGUCCAAAGCUCUCGCUCGGGGGUGGCGGACGAGAUCCAAUCGAGCUGGUGUGCUGACGAUCCCGCCGGUCGGAGCGGAGGCACACGAGAACUAAACGGCCGGACACGCCUGUAGUAUCUCGCUGGGGAAGAACUUUCGGACGCGGGUUCGAUUCCCGCCGCCUCCACCA
rnacentral:tmRNA from 1 species